GGGAAUAUUGGCCAAUGGGCGCAAGCUUGAUCCAGCCAUCCGCGUGGGUGAAGAAGCCCUCCGGGUGUAAAGCCCUUUUGUUGGNAAAGAAAUCCAGCUGGUUAAUACCCGGUGGGGAUGACGGUACCCAAAGAAUAAGCACCGGCUAACUUCGUGCCAGCAGCCGCGGUAAUACGAAGGGUGCAAGCGUUACUCGGAAUUACUGGGCGUAAAGCGUGCGUAGGUGGUCGUUUAAGUCCGAUGUGAAAGCCCUGGGCUCAACCUGGGAACUGCAGUGGAUACUGNGCGACUAGAGUGUGGUAGAGGGUAGCGGAAUUCCUGGUGUAGCAGUGAAAUGCGUAGAGAUCAGGAGGAACAUCCAUGGCGAAGGCAGCUUCCUGGGCCANCACUGACACUCAGGCACGAAAGCGUGGGGAGCAAACAGGAUUAGAUACCCUGGUAGUCCACGCCCUAAACGAUGCGAACUGGAUGUUGGGUGCAAUUUGGCACNUCAGUAUCGCAGCUAACGCGUUAAGUUCGGCCGCUGGGGAGUACGGUCGC
rnacentral:rRNA from 1 species